AUACGGAGGGUCCAAGCGUUAUCCGGAAUCAUUGGGUUUAAAGGGUUCGUAGGCGGGUCAAUAAGUCAGAGGUGAAAUCUUGCAGCUUAACUGUAAAAUUGCCUUUGAAACUGUUGACCUUGAAUUACUGUGAAGUGGUUAGAAUAUGUAGUGUAGCGGUGAAAUGCUUAGAGAUUACAUAGAAUACCGAUUGCGAAGGCAGAUCACUAACAGUAUAUUAACGCUGAUGAACGAAAGCGUGGGUAGCGAACGGGAUUAGAAACCCCGGUAGUCC
rnacentral:rRNA from 1 species